rnacentral:rRNA from 1 species
UGAGGAAUAUUGGUCAAUGGGCGAGAGCCUGAACCAGCCAAGUAGCGUGCAGGAUGACGGCCCUAUGGGUUGUAAACUGCUUUUAUGUGGGGAUAAAGUGCGUGACGUGUCAUGCAUUGCAGGUACCACAUGAAUAAGGACCGGCUAAUUCCGUGCCAGCAGCCGCGGUAAUACGGAAGGUCCGGGCGUUAUCCGGAUUUAUUGGGUUUAAAGGGAGCGUAGGCUGUCUAUUAAGCGUGUUGUGAAAUUUACCGGCUCAACCGGUGGCUUGCAGCGCUAACUGGUCGACUUGAGUAUGCAGGAAGUAGGCGGAAUUCAUGGUGUAGCGGUGAAAUGCUUAGAUAUCAUGACGAACUCCGAUUGCGCAGGCAGCUUACUGUAGCAUAACUGACGCUGAUGCUCGAAAGUGCGGGUAUCAAACAGG